CCCUUAGAUGUUCUGGGCCGCACGCGCGCUACACUGACGAAGUCAGCGAGCAUGUCCUACGCCGACAGGUGCGGGGAAUCUUGUCAAACUUCGUCGUGAUGGGAAUUGAUUAUUGAAAUUCUUGAUCAUCAACGAGGAAUUCCUAGUAAGCGCAAGUCAGCAGCUUGCGUUGAUUACGUCCCUGCCCUUUGUACACACCGCCCGUCGCUACUACCGAUUGAAUGGUUUAGUGAGAUCUUCGGAUUGGCGCCACUGCGGCUCAGCAAUGGGCUCGGUGGAUGCCGAAAAGUUGAUCAAACUUGAUCAUUUAGAGGAAGUAAAAGUCGUAACA
rnacentral:rRNA from 1 species